CAGGCCAGCAUCAGUUCGCCCCGGGGGAUAAAGGCUUUGGGAAUGUGGCUCCCUCGGGAGUGUUAUAGCCCACUGCGUAAUACCCUGGGGUGGACUGAGGUUCGCGCUCUGCAAGGAUGCUGGCGUAAUGGUCAUCA
rnacentral:rRNA from 1 species